ensembl:lncRNA
CGCAUCGCUCUCGGUCAACUGUUGGUGCGUGUUGGAAAACACGAACUUCGUGCGUUUCUGGGGCAGACCCUUGCCAUUCAUGGAGCUCGAAAGACGUUGGGAAAACAUUUGUUAAAAAUCAAUGGAGUAUGUUUUCUAAGUUACCGGUAUUCUUUUGCGGGACGUGGACUUCGUGUUUCUGCAGCGGAGGCCGCAGCGUCGAGAUUAACACAUUCCAAGCAAGCACGGAAAGCGUUUAAAAAAAAAAAAAGGUUUGAUAUCAACUGAGGUUUUCCUACAGUCGUCUUGAAAAAAGUGGAACCCAGUGGACUUCAGUUACUGUACUAGCCAGAUAAGGGCAGAACUCUGCAGACUUAAGGAGUGAGCCAGCGAGCUAACAUGCACGAACCUGGUUUGGCUUCACUGUUAUAAAAGUGAGUAGGGGAGUAUCUUUAUUGUGGCCCUAAGUUUUUUCUAAAGUCAGUUUCACCUGUAAAAGAGUAAAACCUGAUAGGUAAAACUAGUACCAUUAACCCCUGUAACUAGUUCACUUACCUUUUUAUUGCUUGGUCGCUUUUCUGUAAAUCUUGUCUUCAUUGUUAUUAUUAACUCCCCCCGACUUGAAAUCGUUUUUAUUGAGGCCUAUUAUUAAUUGUUGGCACACACAAAAUGGUUCAGUAAAGGUGACAUGCUUUACAUUACCCUCUUCUCCACAAGUCAUCGAUUUGGUUUUGUUGUGAUAUGGCCGUAUCAGAUGAACAAGUUGAGAAAAAUAUUUUCCAACCAUCUCUACCGCUUUUAAGCCUUCAACUAGAUCACCCAUAUGCACUGAAUUGCCAUGAAGCUGAAGGACAGGCUCUAGGUCUGCUGUCAGAAACGUCUGUAACAAGUGAAUGGGAGAGUAACACAGAAUCAACUAAUGAAGCAGUUUUCAAAGGGACACAAACUGUAAACAACCUACUCUGCCCUGUUUUCUCACCUACAUUGGAACAUGACAGUUACAUCGAAGAGGUAGUUCCAGUUAAAGUUGUUCAAAGCAGGGAGAUGGUAGAUGUAGUUCAUCUGCCAAAGAUAGGCUCUCGAUUGCUUAAUGUACAUCAAACAACGGCAGUCAACUUUGGUGAAAUUGCAGCUAUUCUAAAAUCAAAUGAGGGUGGAAUCCUUAGUGGUUCAAAAAUAGCCUCCAGCCCGCUUAAGAAACCGUUUAGUACUGUACCUGUACUAAAAGUUUUGAACGCAGGAGGGGAGCCAUUUUUCAUCCUGUCGACGGCACCAAGUAACGGCCCUGUUGAAAGCAAAACCAACACGUCAGAACAAGGUUGUAGCCAGUCUUCAACACUGACAUCAACAAAUCAACCUUCUGUGUACCAGCAGUUUAUCAUGUUCCCGCCCAAUUUGAAAACCUCAAUCAAAACCUGCUCUCCAACCAAAAAGCCCAACGUGAAGAAAACCUGUUCUGUGAGUUACGCGAAGUACAGGGAUCCAUUUCCCAACUGCACAAAUGUAGGACUAGACCUCAACGUGAGGUCUAAAGAAAAACGUGACUUGAAGUUUUUGACAAAUGGAGUUAUGGUUGAGAUUCAAAACUUUGCCAGCAAGAUAACAACGGCUUUCCAGUAUGUUGUAUUUGAUAUUCUAGACCACAACUUUGAUCUUUGUUUGUUAAGUGAGGAACGUUGGAGAUUUGUCAAAGCAGUUAAUAGUAAAUUAAAGCAAAUAAGAAAGAAAUACAACAAAAGGUUAACACUUAAAGUGUUCACACUACCUGAUCUCAAGAAGAAAGUGAAACCCCUUUCUAAAGCAACUUUACUUGCUAAGGCUUCUCAAGACAAAGACUCCUCACUCUCAUUGAGACAGAAACUUGCUAAACAAAAGAGAAAACAAUGCCACAAGCGUAGGUACAUAAGUAAAUAUCAGGUUGCUAAGGAGGAAGAAAAUGCUGUCAAAUUUCAGAAGGCUUAUGAGGCUAUGAACAACUUUCUGAUGACUUGGUUUUAUCAUGACAGGCAGGUGCCUUCUCAGGUCACCAAUAAAAACUCUGCU